GGGGAUUAGCUCAGUUGGUUUAGAGCAUCUGCCUUACAAGCAGAGGGUCACUGGUUCGAAUCCAGUAUUCCCC
rnacentral:tRNA from 1 species